GCCGGUGUGAUGGAAUUGGUAGACGUGACGGACUCAAAAUCCGUUCCUGGCGACAGGGUGUGGGUUCGAGUCCCACCACCGGCACCA
rnacentral:tRNA from 1 species